rnacentral:rRNA from 1 species
GUUAGGAAUAUUGGACAAUGGGCGAAAGCCUGAUCCAGCCAUGCCGCGUGUGUGAAGAAGGUCUUCGGAUUGUAAAGCACUUUAAGUUGGGAGGAAGGGCAGUAAGUUAAUACCUUGCUGUUUUGACGUUACCAACAGAAUAAGCACCGGCUAACUUCGUGCCAGCAGCCGCGGUAAUACGAAGGGUGCAAGCGUUAAUCGGAAUUACUGGGCGUAAAGCGCGCGUAGGUGGUUCAGCAAGUUGGAGGUGAAAUCCCCGGGCUCAACCUGGGAACUGCCUCCAAAACUACUGAGCUAGAGGACGGUAGAGGGUAGUGGAAUUUCCUGUGUAGCGGUGAAAUGCGUAGAUAUAGGAAGGAACACCAGUGGCGAAGGCGACUACCUGGACUGAUACUGACACUGAGGUGCGAAAGCGUGGGGAGCAAACAGGAUUAGAUACCCUAGUAGUCC